rnacentral:rRNA from 1 species
AAUCUUCGGCAAUGGACGAAAGUCUGUCCGAGCGAUGCCGCGCGCGGGAUGAAGGCCCUCGGGUUGUAAACCGCUGUCAGUUGGGAGGAAAUCUAUAGGGGCAAUCUCCUAUAGUUGACCUAUCUUCAGAGGAAGGACGGGCUAAGUUCGUGCCAGCAGCCGCGGUAAGACGAACCGUCCAAACGUUAUUCGGAAUCACUGGGCUUAAAGGGUGCGUAGGCGGCGCGGUUAGUCGGAUGUGAAAUCGUACAGCUCAACUGUACAACUGCGUCCGAAACUGCCGUGCUUGAGGAAGGCAGAGGUGAGCGGAACUCAGGGUGGAGCGGUGAAAUGCGUUGAUAUCCUGGGGAACACCGGUGGCGAAGGCGGCUCACUGGGCCUUUUCUGACGCUGAGGCACGAAAGCUAGGGUAGCGAACAGGAUUAGAUACCCUGGUAGUCCUAGCUGUA